AUGGCUUCCUCGCGUGCCAUUAUGAUGCUUUCGUUGCUUGUGUUGGCAUUGUCGCACUCUGUUGUGCAGGCUAGGAUGAUGCCAAGUCAUCAACCACAAAUGCUCGCCGAGAAGACGACCGGUCCACCUCCAUACUCAUCAUCUCCAGAUCUGCUUCAAGUGCUCAUGGCGCCACCGCCGCCAAUGCCGGUCACAUUUGCCGGCAACAUGGGGAUCGCUGGUGCCAAGCGUAGGCGUGCUAUCCAUGUCGUUCAGGGGUCGGUUCCGAGCCCCGGCGUCGGCCAUCACUAG
rnacentral:rRNA from 1 species